UUAUGUCAACGAUCUUUUUUCAUUUUGCUUAUUCUUCUCAUUUGGAGUUGUAAUAGUAUUAGUGGCUAUUCAUGGGAGUGUGGCAAGCAUUUUUGAAAUUAUUAUUAUCUUUUUUUGGCAAAAUUGAAAUUUUAAAUGUAUUUUGUAGGUUCUAUUCAAAGUGGAUGAUAUUCGUUUUGUUUUAAAAGAAUGUUUUAUUGCGGUGGCUCAAGUUUUUCACUUAUUUUAUUUAUGUUUAACUGGACAAUUGGUAUACACUCAAAGUAAUAAUCUAAGGAAUUAUAUAUAUGAUUUUGAAUGGACUAACGCGACGCCUGAAAUAAAACAAUUAUUAUGCAUAAUGUUAAAUAAAAGUGAUCAAAACGUUAAUAUAAAUGUAGGUAAAACAUUUAUUUUAUCCUUCGAAUUUUUUGCCACGAUUAUGAAAACAAUAUUUUCUUAUUUGAAUCUUUUGAAUUCACAACGAUAAAUUAUGAAAAAUCAAUGGGCUUGUUAAAUGUGGAAUUACGUUAAUUUUCAAUCUGAAAGUUUAGAAUCACUGUAACUGUAUUUGGUUUUAAAGUAUUCCAUUUUUUAUUAAUAUUAUUUACUUAGACCACAAAUGCUUAGAUUUAGUAUAUAUAUAUCUACCUAUAUUACAAAAAGAUAUCGCCGCCAACGCCGCCGCCGCCGCUGUUCCAAGACUCUGAAUAUAGCCGCAAGUCAAGAGAAGGGGGGGAGAAGA